GCCGGGGUGGCGGAACGGCAGACGCGGGGGACUUAAAAUCCCUUACCCUUCGGGGUGUGCGGGUUCGAAUCCCGCCCCCGGCACCA
rnacentral:tRNA from 1 species